UUCUUGGCCAGUUGAAGAGAAUGUUCUGCACUCCCUCUUGAUACAGCAUUGGGUACUGCCAAACGUAAAAAGGUUUAAUACAGAACAUGGGGAGGACCGGCAGCAAAUGACAGAUGAGCAACCAACUGCAACUUCCAAAAAUGAGCUUUCCAGAUUUUGCUCGAGAGCAUAAGUCAACGAUCUCCCAUCAAUUAUUAAAGCAAACAAGGAAGAGCUAUUUUUAGCUGAAUCAAGCUGUGAUCUUCCUUCUCGUAAUUGCUUUUUUAUGCUUUCCCUAGAUGCCUACAAUAGAUUAAAUUCGAGUCGGGAAACGGGUCAAAACAUGUCCAUAUUGUAUGGUUCACAUUGAGUCAACAAGUUAUACUUUUUAUAUAACUAUAUUUGUACUUCCUAGAAGUUUAUAUGGAUAAAGAAUACACCCUGUAUGACUUUCAGCCCAUUUGACCCCUAUCCUUGUAAGCUAACAAAAUUCUUUUACUCA